rnacentral:rRNA from 1 species
AUUGAACGCUGGCGGCCGGCCUAACACAUGCAAGUCGAACGGGUGGCGGACGGGUGAGUAAUGUCUGGGACACUGCCUGAUGGAGGGGGCUAACUACUGGAAACGUUAGCUAAUACCGCAUACCAUCAGAUGUGCCAAGAUGGGAUUAGCUUGUUGGUGGGGUAACGGCUCACCAAGGCGACGAUCCCUAGCUGGUCUGAGAGGAUGACCAGUCACACUGGAACUGAGACACGGUCCAGAAUCCUGCGGGAGGCAGCAGUGGGGAAUAUUGCACAAUGGGAGCAGUCCUGAUGAAGCCAUGCGGCGUGUAGGAAGAAGGCCUUCGGGUUGUAAAGUACUUUCAGCUGGGAGGCGUUACCCGCAGAAGAAGCACCGGCUAACUCCGUGCCAGCAGCCGCGGUAAUAC